rnacentral:rRNA from 1 species
CCUACGGGAGGCAGCAGUAGGGAAUAUUGCUCAAUGGGGGAAACCCUGAAGCAGCCACGCCGCGUGGAGGAUGAAGGUUUUCGGAUUGUACACUCCUUUUGUUAGAGAAGAUAAUGACGGUCUCGAACGACUUAGCACCGGCUAACUCCGUGCCAGACACCGCUGUAAUACGGUGGGCGCAAGCGUUACUCGGAAUCACUGGGCGUACAGAGAUCGUAGGCGGGAUGGCAAGUCCGAUAUGAAAUUCUAUGGCUUAACCAUAGAACUGCAUUUGAAACUGGUAGUCUAGAGUAUGGGAGAGGUAGGUGGAAUUCUUGGUGUAGGGGUAAAAUCCGUAGAGAUCAAGAAGAACACUCAUUGCGAAGGCGACCUGCUAGAACAUAACUGACGCUGAUGCGCGAAAGCGUGGGGAGCAAACAGGAUUAGAUACCCCAGUAGUC